rnacentral:rRNA from 1 species
AUUGAACGCUGGCGGCAGGCCUAACACAUGCAAGUCGAGCGGGGUUUUCGGACCUAGCGGCGGACGGGUGAGUAAUGCGUAGGAAGCUGCCCGAUAGAGGGGGAUACCAGUUGGAAACGACUGUUAAUACCGCAUAAUGUCUAUGGACCAAAGUGUGGGACCUUCGGGCCACAUGCUAUCGGAUGCGCCUACGUGGGAUUAGCUAGUUGGUGAGGUAAUGGCUCACCAAGGCGACGAUCGCUAGCUGGUUUGAGAGGAUGAUCAGCCACACUGGAACUGAGACACGGUCCAGACUCCUACGGGAGGCAGCAGUGGGGAAUAUUGGACAAUGGGCGCAAGCCUGAUCCAGCCAUGCCGCGUGUGUGAAGAAGGCCUUCGGGUUGUAAAGCACUUUCAGCGAGGAGGAAGGGGUGUGUGUUAAUAGUACACACCUUUGACGUUACUCGCAGAAGAAGCACCGGCUAACUCUGUGCCAGCCGCCGUCGUAACAC